AGAGUUGCAGAUUGGUACAUACAGUAUGUGUGUGGGAAGUUAGUGCAUGUAUCUGUCUGUUGUAAUACUUCUGAUCCAUGUUUUCCAAACCAAAUGUUGCCCACACCCUUUCUGUGAUGGGGUCCUCAUCUGGUUCUGUUGAGUUCUAUUGUAUUCUCACACUGACGGUAUCUGGGCCUGAAGACGGUGGAGAGCUGUGGGCUGCAGUCAGAUGCUGUCUGUGUUCCUUGUAAAUCCACUACAUGAUCACGGUUUUGGGGAGUACAAUCUCAGACGCAUCAGACGUUAGCUGAUGGGUUAUGAGAUUGCCUUUUGGCCAAUGCAGUUCACCUCUUUUGCAUCUUGCAAUGCAUCUUUUGCUCAACAAACGGACUGUUUACCUGCAUUCAACCAAAGCUCGCUCAAACAUGAUUGGUCAAUACUACUUGAACUACAAAAGUAAACCAGGACGCUUCCGAUGCAAGCGCUGGUCUGCCACCACUUUCCCACCACGUCUCGACCUUCAUCCGAAGAAUCCUGAGGGAAGGCUGUCCACGUGUCGUCUGAUUGGUGGAACGAGCUGUCAGUCCAGCCUGGUGUCCAGUGGUUCGACUCCCCAGUGAUGGCGUUGUUUCCAAGUGCUAUUUUCAGACACACAGACACACACAGACACACACAGACACACACACACACGGUUAGUAAUACACUGUACAGUAUCUGAUAGAUCUCCCUCUAGUGUUGUGGUGUUUCUGGCCGGCUUUGCCUUCAUUCAGAUGACCUAUAUAAACGACCUACAAAGGUUGGGCAUUACAUAGAUAUCGUGAUAUGAAACUAGAUAUCGCCUAGAUUCUGGAUAUCCUAAUACGGGUUGUUUUUUCCUGGCUUUAAAGGCUGCAUUACAGUGAUGGCAUUUUCUGAACUUACCAGACUGUUCUAGCUUUUUUAUUAUUUAUUCACUUCACUCGUCUUUGUGUGACUUUCUAUUUUACCCGUUGCCCCAUAAGCCUAGAGUCCCAGGCCCUGUUUGCCGCCUCCUCCCUCCCUCAACCUCACUCUGAAUGAUUAAUACCACGUAGCGAAAGUGAUUGGUAAGGAAUUCAGGUCAGGACCAACUGGAGUCUCAUUUCCACUGCAGGGCUAAGUGGUGCUUACCAGCUAAGAAACAACCCCCCAUGUUUAUCACAAGAUUAGAAGUGUUAUUGGGCAACUCAUUUUGUUUCAUGCAAUUAAAUUAUGUUCGAGUUCCACAGUCAGCAACCUACCCGUAACAAUACCUGUAGUCUAACAUGUUUCAUGCAGUCACAUAUAUUUUACUUCAUAGAUAAAACAUUUUGAGAAGUAAGCCACUGUGUUUUGUGUAGAUCUAAUAAAGCU